rnacentral:lncRNA from 1 species
AUGCUGAUAGCCUUAUAUAUACAUAAGGGUAGAAAAGUCAUACAACCAAGAUCAGCAGAAUAUUCUCAAAGUACAAAGAAAAAGAAUCCCAUCCAACAAGCCUGGAGGUGAUUCUCAACAAAAAAAACAAACAAAGAUACAGUCUACGGCAGACGGUCUUCUGGAAUGAGGGUCUUCAGGUAAUGACACUGGUCUAUCAACAGUGAGCAUUCUGAACAAUCUGGUAGGGGA